AGGUAACAUCAUUCAAGUGUGGUGGUUUUGCAAUCGGCAUGUCUACGAAUCACAUCUUAUUCGACGGCCUAGGCGCCAAGGUAUUCCUCCUAAACCUAGCUUCCCAAUCUUUCGAAAACAAACCCUUAGCCAUCUUACCCUAUAACGACCGUCGGAUUCUCGCCGCUAGAUCUCCACCGCAUGUUUCCUUUCCUCACCCAGAGUUCCUCAAAUUCGACCUCCCCGUGGGCCCGGGGUCAACUCCCCCAAAGUUCGACUGCAUCAUAGAAGAACUCGAUUUCAAAAUCUUCAAACUCAACACAACUCAGAUAUCCCACUUAAAGGACGAUAUUACUAAGAACUCCAAAAUUGAAAGAAUUAGCACCCUUGCGGUGGUGGCCGCCCUAAUCUGGCGGUGCAAAGCCUUUUCCGAUGAUAAAAAUAGGGUUUCCACUCUGCUUAACGUUAUCGACAUUAGGCCAAGAGUGAAGCCCCCAUUACCAUAUUCGUACUCGGCCAACGCAGUGCUUCCCUUGGGAGUUUUGGAAACUUGUGACGAGAUAAAAAACGGGCCGUUUUCGAAGCUUGUGGAGAUUAUCACCGAAGGGGCUAAAGAGAUGACUCAUGAGUACGUGAAAUCGGCUUUCGAUUGGUUGGAGUUGAAUAGAGGGAUUCCUCAUGGGGAUUAUAUGGUGAGCUCAUGGCUUAGAUUAGGGUUUGAUGAGGUGGAGUAUGCAUGGGGGAAGCCGAUGUACAGUUGUCCGGUGGUGAAUCAUCGGAAAGAUAUUUGUUGGGUUUUUCGGGAUGCCGUUGAUAAUGGUGUUUGUGCAAUGGUGGCUUUGCCUUCUCAAGAGAUGGACAUAUUUGAGGGUGUUUUCCAUGACUUUUUUGCUUCAAUAUUGGUUCACUAAGGAUCGGACAUAUAUGUGUGUGUGCGCGCGCGCGCACAAUAUUGUUCUUUGUGAUUUUAUUGUUGUGUGUUUAAUUGAGCAUUUAGACCGACCACCCCUAUGUAAUCUCUAAUUGCAAAACAUGUUUCUAAGUUAAAAUUAUUAGCAAUAAAACCCCCCAUAUUGUGUUUUAUGAAACACGCUUCUUAUAUUAAAAUUAGGGUUAAUAGCAUUUCGCCACCUGGACUUUGCCCGUUUUUGCACUUUGCCACCUUAACUAAAAAAAGUUGCAAGCGCCCACCCAAACUCAGUUUUUUGACGCACAUAACCACCUAAGGGGAAUAUUCCGGCGAAUCUUCUAAUUUUCCAGGCACGCGUGAUGCACAUGCGAAAGUACAAGGGAUUUUUCGUCUUUUUACUUGAAAAUAUCAUAAGGGGGUGAAAUUGAAAGUACCAGGGACUCAAUUAAACAUAAUUUGAAACUUUCACAAAUUCAAAGUUAAUUGAAGCUCUGUAGCUUCAUCUUCUAUGGGAUCAAAACACCCACCGCCUGGGCCCGGUGAACAAAAGAGGCGCUGCCGUUGGAGAAUUCAGACGGGCCCGGAGGGGGGGGGGGGGUGGGGGGGGGCUACCGUUGGAGAAUUUCUCAAACGCCUUGUUGUUGAUGAGCAAAAGCGCCAACAUAGAGACAACAUAUGAGAACUACUGGAGCAUUCCCAAUUCAAGUAUCCACACCCACGCCCACUUCAAUUCCACCAAUUCCUUCAAAUUCGUCUCUCUCUAGGGUUUUAGUCUUCGAUUUGGGCCCCCAACAAUUCAUGGGAAAUUGUCGAAAUCGGUUCGCCGAUCGUGAAAAGGUACCUCGGCGUCUAGGGUUUUAGUCUUCGAUUUGGGCCCCCAACAAUUCGUGGGAAAUCGGUUCGCCGGUCGUGAAAAGGUACCUCGGCGACGAGGAAGAACAGUGGUACAUGCGGUACCACAGGCUAUCCGGCGAGAAUCCGAAAUCCGAUUCAAUCACUUCCGGAGUUGGGUUCUUCGUCUCUCUCAUCCAUGGCGAAUUUCAGCAGAUUGAUGUCGUUGUUCUUCUUCAUCUCUUUAUUGGAGAUUUUUUUCUCCAUUUUGAAGCAGGCGUGCAGCGCAGCGGUGGGUGUUUUUAUCCCAUGGAAAAUGAAGCCACAAAGCUUCAAUUAAUUUCAAAUUUGUGAAAGUUUCAAAUUAAGUUCAAUUGAGUCCCUGGUACUUUCAAUUUCACUCCCUUAUGAUAUUUUCAGGUGAAAAGACGAAAAAACCCUUGUACUUUCGUAUGUGCAUCGCGCAUGCGUUGAAAAAUGAGAAUAUUCGCCGGAAUAUUCUCCUUAGGUGGUUAUGUGCGUCAAAAAACUGAGUUUGGGUGGGCGCUUGCAACUUUUUUUAGUUAAGGUGGGAAAGUGCAAAAACGGACAAAGUCCAAGUGGCGAAAUGCUAUUAACCCUUAAAAUUAUUUGCUUACUUAUGUGAAAUAACAAAACUAUCCUAAUAAAUAUUAAACAAUAUUACAAUUUUAAAUAAAAAAAUGAAAAAAUAAAAAAAAAUAAAAAAUUAAAGGAAAGAUAAGGAAAAAAAACAUUUUAGUCCGACGGCGGAUAUAUGCAAGCCCAUUUUUUUAUUAGUUCAAACCCACAUAAAGGGGUUUAUUAGUUGAAGUCCAUAAAUUAAUCUAAUCUUAUUACAUCAAAACCAAAGAGGACGAAUAUACCUUUAUCCACAAAUAAUACCCAAAUAUAAACAAGACCAAAAAAUCAAAAAACAAAAGAAAAAACAAAAAGAAAUAAAAAACUCACGACUGCUACCGCAACGCCGACCACCGAGGCUUCCACCGCGCCGGCGGCGACCAUCGACCCACCCACCGCACCACCACCAACAAGUAAGUCCUUUUUACUAAACUUUUGUUUGUAAAUUUUAAAACAUUAAUCGAGCAUCGAUUCUUCAUAAAUAUGCGAGGAUGAAUAUUAAUCUAUUUUUAUUUCUUGUUGGGUUGCAAUGCUUUAGCCGAUUCUGGAAAAACAAUUGAGAUUGAAAUUGGUUUUUUUUGUGUGUUUUCGUUGGUUUCCCAAAUCGGUUUACCCAUACCGAUUUUAUACACGAAAAUCGGCGUCAUAAUGCUGAUUUUUGUUAACCAAAUCGGCGACACAACGACUUUACAAGUAAAUAUCAGCGUUGUAAUGCCGAUUUUUAUUUUUUUUUAUUUUGUGUUUUUUAUUUGGUUUUUAAUUUCAUUAAGGGGUAAAUUAGUAUUUUUAUGUUGGAGGUCUUGAAUUAAUAAAAAAAUGUGCUUGCAUAUAUCCACCACCUUUCAGUCCCUGCAUCUCCUCGACCACCAAACCUCCAAAUCCAAUCAUCAUCCACACCACCACAACACCCGCGUUCAACGUACCUGCUCUCGAUUUGGUGUGAUGAAAAUUCUCCAAAAUAUGGGCGAAGAAAAUGUUGGAUUAGUGGGACGGAAGGGGGUAUGCACGGUUGAAGGCUUGAAGCGAAGGCUGAGGGUAUGGAGGGACGUGAGGCCGGAGAGGAUGUUUGCCAGAAGGAGAGUGGCAACUCAGCUAUGUUCAACGUAUUUCUUAAAACAAUUCAAAUUAGUCCCUGACAGAAGGAAGAAGCGGGCCUUUUUGAAAAUAGGCGGGACUGAAUUGAAAAUGUUGAAAACUUUAUUUUCGGGCCUUUUUUUAGCAAUUGACGAUUACACAUGAGUUGUGUUUGCAAUUUACUCUAUAGAAUUUUCAUGCGUUUUCGAUGACUAUGAAAAAUUGCGUGUGUGUGUGUGUGUGUGUGUGUGUGUGAGUGCUCCUACUUCAUACACUUGUUGUAUAAUAUAUUAGUGUGGAUGAAUACUUUAAUUUUCCCUAUAUUACUUGAUUCUUAUAGUUCAAGCACUAUUUGCAGGUAACAUCAUUCAAGUGUGGUGGUUUUGCAAUCGGCAUGUCUACGAAUCACAUCUUAUUCGACGACCUAGGCGCCAAGGUAUUCCUCCUAAACCUAGCUUCCCAAUCUAUCGAAAACAAACCCUUAGCCACCGUACCCUAUAACGACCGUCGGAUUCUCGCCACUAGAUCUCCACCGCAUGUUUCCUUUCCUCACUCAGAGUUCCUCAAAUUCGACCUCCCCGUGGGCCCGGGGUCAACUCCCCCAAAGUUCGAC
rnacentral:lncRNA from 1 species